CCUCAGCAUCUGAGUGCUCGGAGUCUGUGAUGGCCAAUUCCCUGGCAACAGUAGAAUCAUCCAGCUUAGGAAAGAAAAGACCAACAAGCCUGAAGAGAGAAUGCCAUUAGGAACAGGUGGCCAGGAAGAUACAUUGCCCAACACAAGGUGACCUGGGCUGUUUAAAAGACGAUCACGCCAGUUCCAGAAGUUCUGCCAUGAUGAAGUAACCUGCAAGCACAGCACGUGCAAAGACAAGACAUAAUGGAACAAAGUACUUUUGGGAUCAGCACAGGUAAAGGAUGAGUGAAAAAUAAGGAAGACUCUCCUGGAUUAGUUCAGUCCUGCCAUGUCCAUUCAUGCAGGCCCAAAACCUCGCGUGCGGAUAGAACUGUACAAGUUUGAGAAGACAUCAUGCAAAACAUUUUUUAGCAACUAUAAUCAGCACGAGAACUUCCCAACUUAGCAAAAACAACUGCAAAUGAAGUCAACUCUGAAUAGUCACAUAUGAAUUAUUCAAUUUGGGGAUUGCCCAAGGCCCCAUUACUCCUUUUAUCCACUGAGAACUCACAAUCUAUUCUUUCUUAAUGAUGUACUUUUUUCUUUUUUGUAAAGACAACUGCGUUUAUUGGAGAAAGUUUAGAAAAUGUGAUAACUAAAGAAGAAAUUAAAAAUG